AGUGAACGCUGGCGGUAGGCCUAACACAUGCAAGUCGAACGGCAGCACAGUAAGAGCUUGCUCUUACGGGUGGCGAGUGGCGGACGGGUGAGGAAUACAUCGGAAUCUACUUUUUCGUGGGGGAUAGCGUAGGGAAACUUACGCUAAUACCGCAUACGACCUACGGGUGAGAGCAGGGGAUCUUCGGACCUUGCGCGAUUGAAUGAGCCGAUGUCGGAUUAGCUAGUUGGCGGGGUAAAGGCCCACCAAGGCGACGAUCCGUAGCUGGUCUGAGAGGAUGAUCAGCCACACUGGAACUGAGACACGGUCCAGACUCCUACGGGAGGCAGCAGUGGGGAAUAUUGGACAAUGGGCGCAAGCCUGAUCCAGCCAUACCGCGUGGGUGAAGAAGGCCUUCGGGUUGUAAAGCCCUUUUGUUGGGAAAGAAAAGCAGCAGGUUAAUACCCCGCUGUUCUGACGGUACCCAAAGAAUAGGCACCGGCUAACUUCGUG
rnacentral:rRNA from 1 species